rnacentral:rRNA from 1 species
UUCCGGUUGAUCCUGCCAGAGGUUACUGCUAUCGGAGUUCGAUUAAGCCAUGCGAGUCUAAAGGUUUCUUCGGAAACCUUGGCGGACUGCUCAGUAACACGUGGAUAACCUACCCUUGGGACUGGAAUAACCCCGGGAAACCGGGGAUAAUACCGGAUAGAUCAGGGAUGCUGGAAUGCACCUUGAUCCAAAGCUCCGGCGCCCAAGGAUGGGUCUGCGGCCUAUCAGGUAGUAGUGGGUGUAACGUACCUACUAGCCAACGACGGGUACGGGUUGUGAGAGCAAGAGCCCGGAGAUGGAUUCUGAGACACGAAUCCAGGCCCUACGGGGUGCAGCAGGCGCGAAACCUUUACAAUGUGCGAAAGCAUGAUAAGGGAACUCCGAGUGCCAGUAUCUAAUACUGGCUGUCCUUGUGCCUAAAACGCACAAGAUAGCAAGGGCCGGGUAAGACCGGUGCCAGCCGCCGCGGUAACACCGGCGGCCCGAGUGGUAGCCGCUAUUAUUGGGUCUAAAGGGUCCGUAGCCGGUUCGAUAAGUCCUCUGGGAAAUCUGGUUGCUUAACAAUCAGACUGCCAAGGGAUACUGUCGAACUUGAGACCGGGAGAGGUAAGAGGUACUUCAGGGGUAGGAGUGCAAUCUUGUAAUCCCUGGGGGACCAUCUGUGGCGAAGGCGUCUUACCAGAACGGGUCUGACGGUGAGGGACGAAAGCUGGGGGCGCAAACCGGAUUAGAUACCCGGGUAGUCCCAGCCGUAAACGAUGCUCGCUAUGUGUCAGGUACGGUGUGACCGUAUCUGGUGCCGUAGGGAAGCCGUGAAGCGAGCCACCUGGGAAGUACGGCCGCAAGGCUGAAACUUAAAGGAAUUGGCGGGGGAGCACUACAACGGGUGGAGCCUGCGGUUUAAUUGGAUUCAACGCCGGG